GUAGGGAGCGAGCGUUGUCCGGAAUUAUUGGGCGUAAAGAGCUCGUAGGCGGUUUGGUAAGUCAGAUGUGAAAACUCAGGGCUCAACCCUGAGAGGCCAUCUGAUACUGCCAUGACUAGAGUCCGGUAGAGGAGUGUGGAAUUUCUGGUGUAGCGGUGAAAUGCGCAGAUAUCAGAAGGAACACCAACGGCGAAGGCAGCACUCUGGGCCGGUACUGACGCUGAGGAGCGAAAGCGUGGGGAGCAAACAGGAUUAGAUACCCUGGUAGUCCACGCCCGUAAACGCUGGGCACUAGGUGUGGGACCCUUAUCAACGGGUUCCGUGCCGUAGCUAACGCAUUAAGUGCCCCCCGCCUGGGAGUACGGCCGCAAGGCUA
rnacentral:rRNA from 1 species